UCCGUAGGCGGGCAAUUAAGUCAGAGGUGAAAUCACACAGCUCAACUGUGGAACUGCCUUUGAUACUGGUUGUCUUGAGUUACAGUGAAGUAGAUAGAAUAUGUAGUGUAGCGGUGAAAUGCAUAGAUAUUACAUAGAAUACCGAUUGCGAAGGCAGUCUACUAACUGUAUACUGACGCUAAUGGACGAAAGCGUGGGGAGCGAACAGGAUUAGAUACCCUGGUAGUCC
rnacentral:rRNA from 1 species